UUAAGUGACUAAGCGUACACGGUGGAUGCCUAGGCAGUCAGAGGCGAUGAAGGGCGUGCUAAUCUGCGAAAAGCGUCGGUAAGGUGAUAUGAACCGUUAUAACCGGCGAUACCCGAAUGGGGAAACCCAGUGUGUUUCGACACAUUAUCAUGUCAUGAAUACAUAGUGGCAUGAGGCGAACCGGGGGAACUGAAACAUCUAAGUACCCCGAGGAAAAGAAAUCAACCGAGAUUCCCCCAGUAGCGGCGAGCGAACGGGGAGGAGCCCAGAACCUGAAUCGGCUUGUGUGUUAGUGGAAGCGUCUGGAAAGUCGCGCAGCAAAGGGUGAUAGCCCCGUACACUAAAAUGCACAGGUCGUGAGUUCGAUGAGUAGGGCGGGACACGUGACAUCCUGUCUGAAUAUGGGGGGACCAUCCUCCAAGGCUAAAUACUCCUGACUGACCGAUAGUGAACCAGUACCGUGAGGGAAAGGCGAAAAGAACCCCGGCGAGGGGAGUGAAAUAGAACCUGAAACCGUGUACGUACAAGCAGUGGGAGCACCUUCGUGGUGUGACUGCGUACCUUUUGUAUAAUGGGUCAGCGACUUAUAUUUUGUAGCAAGGUUAACCGUAUAGGGGAGCCGUAGGGAAACCGAGUCUUAACUGGGCGAAUAGUUGCAAGGUAUAGACCCGAAACCCGGUGAUCUAGCCAUGGGCAGGUUGAAGGUUGGGUAACACUAACUGGAGGACCGAACCGACUAAUGUUGAAAAAUUAGCGGAUGACUUGUGGCUGGGGGUGAAAGGCCAAUCAAACCGGGAGAUAGCUGGUUCUCCCCGAAAGCUAUUUAGGUAGCGCCUCGUGAACUCAUCUUCGGGGGUAGAGCACUGUUUCGGCUAGGGGGCCAUCCCGGCUUACCAAACCGAUGCAAACUCCGAAUACCGAAGAAUGUUAUCACGGGAGACACACGGCGGGUGCUAACGUCCGUCGUGAAGAGGGAAACAACCCAGACCGCCAGCUAAGGUCCCAAAGUCAUGGUUAAGUGGGAAACGAUGUGGGAAGGCAUAGACAGCCAGGAUGUUGGCUUAGAAGCAGCCAUCAUUUAAAGAAAGCGUAAUAGCUCACUGGUCGAGUCGGCCUGCGCGGAAGAUGUAACGGGGCUAAACCAUGCACCGAAGCUGCGGCAGCGACGCUUAGGCGUUGUUGGGUAGGGGAGCGUUCUGUAAGCCGUUGAAGGUGGCCUGUGAGGGUUGCUGGAGGUAUCAGAAGUGCGAAUGCUGACAUAAGUAACGAUAAAGCGGGUGAAAAGCCCGCUCGCCGGAAGACCAAGGGUUCCUGUCCAACGUUAAUCGGGGCAGGGUGAGUCGACCCCUAAGGCGAGGCUGAAAAGCGUAGUCGAUGGGAAACAGGUUAAUAUUCCUGUACUUGGUGUUACUGCGAAGGGGGGACGGAGAAGGCUAGGCUAGCCGGGCGACGGUUGUCCCGGUUUAAGCGUGUAGGGGGUGUGACCUGGUAAAUCCGGUUGCAUNCAGGUAACAUUAAAUCGUACCCCAAACCGACACAGGUGGUCAGGUAGAGAAUACCAAGGCGCUUGAGAGAACUCGGGUGAAGGAACUAGGCAAAAUGGUGCCGUAACUUCGGGAGAAGGCACGCUGGCAUGUAGGUGAAGUCCCUCGCGGAUGGAGCUGAAGCCAGUCGAAGAUACCAGCUGGCUGCAACUGUUUAAUAAAAACACAGCACUGUGCAAACACGAAAGUGGACGUAUACGGUGUGACGCCUGCCCGGUGCUGGAAGGUUAAUUGAUGGGGUCAGCCGCAAGGCGAAGCUCUUGAUCGAAGCCCCAGUAAACGGCGGCCGUAACUAUAACGGUCCUAAGGUAGCGAAAUUCCUUGUCGGGUAAGUUCCGACCUGCACGAAUGGCGUAAUGAUGGCCAGGCUGUCUCCACCCGAGACUCAGUGAAAUUGAACUCGCUGUGAAGAUGCAGUGUACCCGCGGCAAGACGGAAAGACCCCGUGAACCUUUACUAUAGCUUGACACUGAACAUUGAGCCUUGAUGUGUAGGAUAGGUGGGAGGCUUUGAAGCGUGGACGCCAGUCUGCGUGGAGCCAUCCUUGAAAUACCACCCUUUAAUGUUUGAUGUUCUAACUCGGCCCCGUGAUCCGGGGUGAGGACAGUGUCUGGUGGGUAGUUUGACUGGGGCGGUCUCCUCCCAAAGAGUAACGGAGGAGCACGAAGGUUAGCUAAUCACGGUCGGACAUCGUGAGGUUAGUGCAAAGGCAUAAGCUAGCUUGACUGCGAGAGUGACGGCUCGAGCAGGUACGAAAGUAGGUCUUAGUGAUCCGGUGGUUCUGAAUGGAAGGGCCAUCGCUCAACGGAUAAAAGGUACUCCGGGGAUAACAGGCUGAUACCGCCCAAGAGUUCAUAUCGACGGCGGUGUUUGGCACCUCGAUGUCGGCUCAUCACAUCCUGGGGCUGAAGUAGGUCCCAAGGGUAUGGCUGUUCGCCAUUUAAAGUGGUACGCGAGCUGGGUUUAGAACGUCGUGAGACAGUUCGGUCCCUAUCUGCCGUGGGCGUUGGAAGAUUGAGAGGGGUUGCUCCUAGUACGAGAGGACCGGAGUGAACGCACCACUGGUGUUCGGGUUGUCAUGCCAAUGGCAUUGCCCGGUAGCUAAGUGCGGAAAAGAUAAGCGCUGAAAGCAUCUAAGCGCGAAACUUGCCUCAAGAUGAGUCUUCCCUGGGCCUUUAAGGCCCCUGAAGGAACGUUUAAGACUAAGACGUUGAUAGGCUGGGUGUGUAAGUGCAGCGAUGCAUUGAGCUAACCAGUACUAAUGAUCCGUGAGGCUUAACCUU
rnacentral:rRNA from 1 species